UCCAGCCGUAACGAAAGGUGGCUGAGUAACAAUUGAGCAGCUAAUAAUCCAUCAUCAAAUUAGUCGCCUGCAUCAUCUGGCACACCUGUUUUGGUCAACCGACAGCACGUGCCGUGCGCGAGUCCAAUGGUUCCCCGGUUUCAGGCAGAUGGAUGCAGCAGGAAGCCCUCAAAUAACGCACCCAACCUGAUGAGAGCUGGUGCUGUCGAGCCCCAGCUGCUGCAGGAUCGCUCUGACCUGCAGCAAGGCCAGACGA